rnacentral:rRNA from 1 species
GCGAACGCUGGCGGCAGGCCUAACACAUGCAAGUCGAACGGAUCCUUCGGGAUUAGUGGCGGACGGGUGAGUAACACGUGGGAACGUGCCUUUUGGUUCGGAACAACUCAGGGAAACUUGAGCUAAUACCGGAUAAGCCCUUCGGGGGAAAGAUUUAUCGCCAUUAGAGCGGCCCGCGUCUGAUUAGCUAGUUGGUGGGGUAAAGGCCCACCAAGGCGACGAUCAGUAGCUGGUCUGAGAGGAUGAUCAGCCACAUUGGGACUGAGACACGGCCCAAACUCCUACGGGAGGCAGCAGUGGGGAAUCUUGCGCAAUGGGCGAAAGCCUGACGCAGCCAUGCCGCGUGAAUGAUGAAGGUCUUAGGAUUGUAAAAUUCUUUCACCGGGGACGAUAAUGACGGUACCCGGAGAAGAAGCCCCGGCUAACUUCGU